GGAGACCGUGGGCGGAGGUGAUACAACCUGACUGAUGAUGGCUGACAAAAGAAGAAGAAAGUAGCUGAGAACCAGCAGCUGAAGAAAGAGACUGAAGCGCCGACUGAAAGAAAUCUAUGGCAAGAAAAUAUGAGUGAAGUCACAAAUGUCACCAAGGAAAGGAAGAACAGAAAAAUAACUUGAAUAUUCAAGAUGGGCAGCCUAGUUCAACGACACAUCAAGCCUUGUGAAAAGGUGACUCCGAGGCAUGGAGGCACAUGCCUGUAGCCUCACCACACAGGCAGGUGGUGGUGAAUUCUACACUAACCUUGGCUACACAGUGACACACUGCCCCAAAACAGAAACAAAAAGCAAAAAGUUUCUCAGUGAACCUCAGAAAAGGUUCCUAAGGUAACAAAAGAAUCAAAAUAUGCCCUAGCUCACCCCAAAUGCCAAGAGCCUUGCUAUGUUUAGUAAGCACCUCCAUAAAAUGCUGUUUUCCCGGAAGAGAGCUGUUCAGAUGCUGCCCAAGCCAACCCGAGUUUACCAGGUUCCAGGAAUGACCUUGAAUUCCAGAUCCUUCUGCCCCCAUCAUCUGAGUGCUGGGUUACGGUUGGGUGGCUAUACCUGCCUCUCACCUGGGUCUUUGAAACAAAAGAGGGAAGAAAGAAAGAAGGAAAGAAAGAAAGAAAGAAA
rnacentral:lncRNA from 1 species